UACGGGGGGAGCAAGCGUUGUUCGGAUUUACUGGGCGUAAAGGGCGCGUAGGCGGUCAGCACAAGUCAGUUGUGAAAUCUCCGGGCUUAACUCGGAAAGGUCAACUGAUACUGUGCGACUAGAGUGCGGAAGGGGCAACUGGAAUUCUCGGUGUAGCGGUGAAAUGCGUAGAUAUCGAGAGAAACACCUGCGGCGAAGGCGGGUUGCUGGGCCGACACUGACGCUGAUGCGCGAAAGCCAGGGGAGCGAACGGG
rnacentral:rRNA from 1 species